rnacentral:lncRNA from 1 species
AGAAUUAUUUACCUCUUACCAUAUUUUAAAUUUAUUUCAAUGUUUAUUCAAUUUUAUGGUAAAGUAUGUAUUUAUUAGUUUAAGAACAUUGAUAAGUGCUAUGAAAAGAUAACUAAAUUAUAAAUUAUUCAGCACUUAUCACACCCCCAAACCUAUAUUUUGCUAGUCCUCGAGCAAAAUAAAACUAGAAAAAAAGAAUUUUAACUCACUUUCGCAGGCAUCGCG